rnacentral:rRNA from 1 species
CCUACGGGGGGCAGCAGUGGGGAAUAUUGCACAAUGGGGGAAACCCUGAUGCAGCGACGCCGCGUGAGUGAAGAAGUAAUUCGUUAUGUAAAGCUCUAUCAGCAGGGAAGAAAAUGACGGUACCUGAGUAAGAAGCCCCGGCUAACUACGUGCCAGCAGCCGCGGUAAUACGUAGGGGGCAAGCGUUAUCCGGAUUUACUGGGUGUAAAGGGAGCGUAGACGGCAGUGCAAGUCUGGAGUGAAAGGCGGGGGCUCAACCCCCGGACUGCUCUGGAAACUGUACGGCUGGAGUGCAGGAGAGGUAAGUGGAAUUCCUAGUGUAGCGGUGGAAUGCGUAGAUAUUAGGAGGAACACCAGUGGCGAAGGCGGCUUACUGGACUGUAACUGACGUUGAGGCUCGAAAGCGUGGGGAGCAAACAGGAUUAGAUACCCUGGUAGUC